rnacentral:tRNA from 1 species
UCUCUGGUGGCUCAGAGGGUAAAGCAUCUGCCUGCCAUGCAGGAGAUGUGGGUUCGAUGCCCGUGUUGGGAA